rnacentral:rRNA from 1 species
CCUAGGGGGUCUGCAGUGGGGAAUAUUGGACAAUGGGCGAAAGCCUGAUCCAGCCAUGCCGCGUGUGUGAAGAAGGCCUUCGGGUUGUAAAGCACUUUCAGUGGGGAAGAAAGCCUUGGGGCUAAUACCCUCGAGGAAGGACAUCACCCACAGAAGAAGCACCGGCUAACUCCGUGCCAGCAGCCGCGGUAAUACGGAGGGUGCGAGCGUUAAUCGGAAUUACUGGGCGUAAAGCGCGCGUAGGCGGUCUGAUAAGCCGGUUGUGAAAGCCCCGGGCUCAACCUGGGAACGGCAUCCGGAACUGUCAGGCUAGAGUGCAGGAGAGGAAGGUAGAAUUCCCGGUGUAGCGGUGAAAUGCGUAGAGAUCGGGAGGAAUACCAGUGGCGAAGGCGGCCUUCUGGACUGACACUGACGCUGAGGUGCGAAAGCGUGGGUAGCAAACAGGAUUAGAUACCCCGGUAGUC